rnacentral:rRNA from 1 species
GACGAACGCUGGCGGCGUGCCUAAUACAUGCAAGUCGAGCGGUGAAGCACCUUCGGGUGUGGAUCAGCGGCGAACGGGUGAGUAACACGUGGGCAACCUGCCCUCAAGCCUGGGAUAACUCCGGGAAACCGGGGCUAACACCAGAUAAUCUUCUUGGACGCAUGUUUGAGGAGUAAAAGUUUACACUUGAGGAUGGGCCCGCGGUGCAUUAGCUAGUUGGUGGGGUAACGGCCUACCAAGGCGACGAUGCAUAGCCGACCUGAGAGGGUGACCGGCCACACUGGGACUGAGACACGGCCCAGACUCCUACGGGAGGCAGCAGUAGGGAAUUUUCCGCAAUGGGCGCAAGCCUGACGGAGCAACGCCGCGUGAGUGAAGACGGCCUUCGGGUUGUAAAGCUCUGUUCUUAGGGAAGAAGAAAAUGACGGUACCUAAGCAGAAAGCCCCGGCUAACUACGUG